AGCUUUUCCAUGCAGUCAACAUUAGGGUUUUAAAACCCUAAACUGAAUUUUCCCUUUAGUCAGCAUUAGGGUUUUAAACCCUAAACUGAACUUUUCCUUUAAUCAGCAUUAGGGUUUUAAACCCUAAACUGAACUUUUUCCUUUCAGUCAGCAUUAGGGUUUUAAACCCUAAACUGAAUUUUCCCUUUAGUUAGCAUUAGGGUUUUAAACCCCUAAACUGAACUUUUCCAUUUAGUCAGCGUUAGGGUUUUAAACCCUAAACUGAACUUUACCAUUCAGUCAGCAUUAGGGUUUUAAACCCUAAACUGAACUUUUUCAUUCAGUCAGCAUUAGGGUUUUAAACCCUAAACUGAUUUUUUCCUUUCAGUCAGCAUUAGGGUUUUAAAACCCUAAACUGAACUUUUCCAUUCAGUCAGCAUUAGGAUUCUAAACCCUAAACUGAACUUUUCCUUUAGUCAGCGUUAGGGUUUUAAACCCUAAACUAAACUUUUUUCAUUCAGCCAGCAUUAGGGUUUUAAACCCUAAACUGAGCUUUUCCAUGCAAUCAGCAUUAAGGUUUUAAACCCUAAACUGAAUUUUUCCUUUAGUCAGCAUUAGGGUUUUAAACCCUAAACUGAACUUUUUUCCAUUCAGCCAGCAUUAGGGUUUUAAACCCUAAACUGAGCUUUUCCAUGCAAUCAGCAUUAGGGUUUUAAAACCCUAAACUGAAUUUUCCCUUUAGUCAGCAUUA
rnacentral:lncRNA from 1 species